UACGUAGGUGGCAAGCGUUGUUCGGAUUUACUGGGCGUAAAGGGCGCGUAGGCGGCGCAACAAGUCACUUGUGAAAUCUUCAGGCUUAACCUGAAGCGGCCAAGUGAUACUGUCGUGCUAGAGUGCGGAAGGGGCAACUGGAAUUCUUGGUGUAGCGGUGAAAUGCGUAGAUAUCGAGAGGAACACCUGCGGCGAAGGCGGGUAGCUGGGCCGACACUGACGCUGAGGCGCGAAAGCCAGGGGAGCGAACGGG
rnacentral:rRNA from 1 species